GGACCUUAAAGAUCACUGGGUUGCUGGAGCAGCAGAAAACAGACAGGGCCACCCUGUCUUGGGCAGGAAAUCCUCCACUCCACUCUGCAGGGAAGGGUCUUGGCACCUCCAUGGCUCCCCCAAGAAUUUAAUUUACACUGAAGACAUUGCAAACUCCUCCUGUAAAGCCUUAGGACCAGACUGAAAAUAGCAAAGGCUAAACAAUCCCAAUCCUCUCAGCCUUUCCUCAUAGGAGAGGUAUUCCAGUCCUUUGUUCAUCUUGGUGGCUUCUUUCUCCCUACUCCCUGCCUGCAAGGAAGGAGUGAAAGCAGUCCAGACACCCCUGGGACAUCUUCUCCCAGCAGUGACAAGUAUAGAAGACCAUGGGCAUCUUGGGGUAUCAAAGUAAUUUAAGAGAAAUUACAGACACAACAACAUUGAAAAGGCAUAAUUAAAGCACUAACAAAAUUGAACAAUGUGUGUCAAAGAACUCUAAUGCUUUUAUUUUAAAUGUCAAGAUGUUACUGGUGAAAACAAGCAUCAUGGCAGGAUGCAGAUGAGGAGGAGGAAUUGAAUGACAGAGGUAAUUUUGAUGGAGAAAUGUUAAAAUAUGAGAAUCAGGACAAUGGAUAAAUGAGGUGUUAAAGUAGUGUUUUUGUGAGUGUCUCACGUGAAUUGGAGAUUUAUAUGCAGAGAGAAGGAGACAAAAAGCGGACACAUGGAUGUGGAGAUAACACAAGGGAAGAAGUAGGAAUUAUG